rnacentral:rRNA from 1 species
GAUGAACGCUGGCGGCGUGCCUAAUACAUGCAAGCCGAGCGAACGGACGAGAAGCUUGCUUCUCUGAUGUUAGCGGCGGACGGGUGAGUAACACGUGGAUAACCUACCUAUAAGACUGGGAUAACUUCGGGAAACCGGAGCUAAUACCGGAUAAUAUUUUGAACCGCAUGGUUCAAAAGUGGAAGACGGUCUUGCUGUCACUUAUAGAUGGAUCCGCGCUGCAUUAGCUAGUUGGUAAGGUAACGGCUUACCAAGGCAACGAUGCAUAGCCGACCUGAGAGGGUGAUCGGCCACACUGGAACUGAGACACGGUCCAGACUCCUACGGGAGGCAGCAGUAGGGAAUCUUCCGCAAUGGGCGAAAGCCUGACGGAGCAACGCCGCGUGAGUGAUGAAGGUCUUCGGAUCGUAAAACUCUGUUAUUAGGGAAGAACAUAUGUGUAAGUAACUGUGCACAUCUUGACGGUACCUAAUCAGAAAGCCACGGCUAACUACGUG